CAAAUAAAACACCUUUUUCCACACAAGACCUUUGUAUCCUGCCUUUUGAUAUGCUUUUCACCACUUCAAAGAACACAGAUUCUUUUCUCUGAUGUAGUAAGAGAAGUUCCUAAAAUCAGAGAAGAAAAGCUUUGAAGUAUGCAGGGGUUGUGUUUCUUGCCAUGGAGACCACAUGCCUAUGAAUGUUUGCAGCUGCCGGCUUCCAGUAACAGAUGCUGAAAAAGAAGGUGGUCUUGCCAAGGGGAUGGCUGCACCCAGAGCCUUCCAGCACAGACAACCAGGCAUGAAAGUGACAAUAACUGUAGUUCAUAUGCCAGCAGCUUCCACAGGAAGGCAUAUCUCGCUGGCCUUGGUCUCAUCAACACCAACAGCAGUACGUCUCCACUAUUUCUACCAACUUAUACAUGCUGAAAUGCAAGGCAAGGAAAGGGGGAUGGAGGGAUUUCCUUGUGAUUUAACGUCCGAAGAGUUUGUCAUGUUAUAUAUAUAUUUGCACCUCUUGAUAAAAGCCACAGACUAAAUUAUCUCUCUUUUAUUAAGUUUCCAGAAAGAAAGAAAUAGAAUAAAUUAAUAUUAGAAAUAUUAAUUAUUGUAACA
rnacentral:lncRNA from 1 species